CCUACGGGAGGCAGCAGUGGGGAAUAUUGCACAAUGGGGGAAACCCUGAUGCAGCGACGCCGCGUGAGUGAAGAAGUAAUUCGUUACGUAAAGCUCUAUCAGCAGGGAAGAACUCCUGACCUUACGGUCAGCAGACGGUACCUGAGUAAGAAGCCCCGGCUAACUACGUGCCAGCAGCCGCGGUAAUACGUAGGGGGCAAGCGUUUUACGGAUUUACUGGGGGUAAAGGGGGCGUAGACGGCAGCAAAAGUCUGGGGUGAAAUCCCGGGGCUUAACCCCGGAACUGCUUUGGAAACUGUGCGGCUGGAGUGCAGGAGGGGUAAGCGGAAUU
rnacentral:rRNA from 1 species